UGAGGGCAGACUCCAGGCGCCCUCAGAGACCAGCCAGCAUCCUAGAGAAGAACUAAGGCCAGCAGAGAGGAGCACAACCAAGGAAAGGACAGACUCUCCUACCCCAGCUCCAAGGAGGAACAAGUAUUAACCAAAGCCAGCCGUCUUCUCUGCCCAGAGCAGAGAGCAACCAGGGUGGGUCUGGGCACUGACGGGAAAGGGGACAGACUGGUUCCUCCCUGCCCCUCGCCCCAUAAACUACACAGCCACGGGAAACUCCUGGAGCCACAGAGAGAAUCUGACCACAGCAGAGGAGGCACUUAGCCAAAAGUCAGAGCAGAGAUGGAGACCUCCUGAGGAGAGACAGACCUAAGGGGUCCCUGGGGGUCAUCUCAUCUAGCCCCCUGCCAGCAGGCCAGGCCAUCUCUCUGGGCCUCAGCAAGAGCUGUGCGGCAUCCCCUUGCGCUGGGCAAUGAGACAAGCAGGCCUGAGCAGGGAAGUCCCCAGGCUCCAGGAAGCAGGGCCCUGCCCCCGAGAGGGUACUACUCAGAUGGAACCAGAGGAAGCUGCUUCGCGCCUGCCUGCCCCCGUCCCCUGCCCCCUGCACGGGGAGGGCUCUCCCUGCCUCCUCCGCAGCCUCUGGUCUGGCCAGAAUGGGACAUCAGGAACCCUUGCACUUGCCGAGGGCACACAUCCGUUGCCCAGAACCACUCAAGCCAGUCUUCACCAUGGAACACCGGGGAAUCCUUGGGGCCCCCUUUUCCUCCCAGCAUCCAAUAGUAAGUUGGGCAGUGGAGGAGCCAGACACAGAAGCAAGAAAGCAAGAAACUGGAUUUUUAAUUUUCUCUUUUUAAUAAAAAGGCACCUAUAAAACAGGUCAAUACAGUACAGGCAGCACAGAGACCCCCGAACAAGCCUAAAAAUUGUUUCAAAAUAAAAACCAAGAAGAUGUCUUCA